rnacentral:rRNA from 1 species
UCCGGUUGAUCCUGCCGGCGGUCACUGCUAUCGAGUUUCGACUAAGCCAUGCGAGUCACAGGCCGAAAGGUACUGGCGGACGGCUCAGUAACACGCGGAUAAUCUACCCUCAGGUGGGGUAUACCCUUGGGAAACUGAGGCUAAUCCCCCAUAGGUCCUGUAAACUGGAAUGUUUUAGGACUGAAAGUCACGGCGCCUGAGGAUGAGUCUGCGGCCUAUCAGGUAGUAGGUGGGGUAAAGGCCCACAUAGCCUAUGACGGGUACGGGCCCUGAGAGGGGUAGCCCGGAGAUGGGUUCUGAGACACGAACCCAGGCCCUACGGGGCGCAGCAGGCGCGAAACCUUCGCAAUGCGCGCAAGCGCGACGAGGGGAACUCGAGUGCUAUUAUCCUUUUGGGUGAUAGCUUUUCUCGAUCCUAAAAAGAUCGGGGAAUAAAAGCUGGGUAAGACGGGUGCCAGCCGCCGCGGUAAUACCCGCAGCUCAAGUGGUGGCCACUAUUAUUGAGCCUAAAGCGUCCGUAGCCGGUCUUGUAAAUCUCUGGGUAAAUCCCAUCGCUCAACGGUGGGAAGACUGGAGAGACUGCAAGACUAGGGAUCGGGUGAGGUAAGAGGUACUCCUGGGGUAGGGGUAAAAUCCUGUAAUCCUGGGGGGACGACCGGUGGCGAAGGCGUCUUACUAGAACGACUCCGACGGUGAGGGACGAAGGCUAGGGGAGCAAACCGGAUUAGAUACCCGGGUAGUCCUAGCUGUAAACGCUGCCCACUUGGUGUUGCCCUUUCGUAGGGAAGGGGCAGUGCCGGAGCGAAGGUGUUAAGUGGGCCGCUUGGGGAGUAUGGUCGCAAGGCUGAAACUUAAAGGAAUUGGCGGGAGAGCACCGCAACGGGAGGAGCGUGCGGUUUAAUUGGAUUCAACGCCGGG